rnacentral:rRNA from 1 species
CUGCCAGCCGCCGCGGUAAUACGGAGGGUGCAAGCGUUAUCCGGAUUCAUUGGGUUUAAAGGGUGCGCAGGCGGAUACUUAAGUCAGUGGUGAAAUCCCGGGGCUCAACCCCGGAACUGCCAUUGAUACUGAAUAUCUGGAAUACGGUUGAAGUGGGCGGAAUGUAGCAUGUAGCGGUGAAAUGCAUAGAGAUGCUACAGAACACCGAUCGCGAAGGCAGCUCACUAAGCCGAUAUUGACGCUCAGGCACGAAAGCGUGGGGAGCAAACAGGAUUAGAUACCCUGGUAGUCCACGCCCUAAACGAUGAGGACUAGACGUUGGGGGAUAAACCCUUUAGUGUCGCAGCUAACGCGUGAAGUCCUCCGCCUGGGGAGUACGGCCGCAAGGUUGAAACUCAAAUGAAUUGACGG